UAGGGAAUUUUCGUCAAUGGGGGGAACCCUGAACGAGCAAUGCCGCGUGUGUGAAGAAGGUCUUCGGAUCGUAAAGCACUGUUGUAAGUGAAGAAUGCCAUAUAGAGGAAAUGCUAUGUGGGUGACGGUAGCUUACCAGAAAGCCACGGCUAACUACGUGCCAGCAGCCGCGGUAAUACGUAGGUGGCAAGCGUUAUCCGGAAUCAUUGGGCGUAAAGGGUGCGUAGGUGGCACGAUAAGUCUGAAGUAAAAGGCAACAGCUCAACUGUUGUAUGCUUUGGAAACUGUCGAGCUAGAGUGCAGAAGAGGGCGAUGGAAUUCCAUGUGUAGCGGUAAAAUGCGUAGAUAUAUGGAGGAACACCAGUGGCGAAGGCGGUCGCCUGGCCUGUAACUGACACUGAUGCACGAAAGCGUGGGGAUCGAACAGGAUUAGAUACC
rnacentral:rRNA from 1 species